rnacentral:rRNA from 1 species
UGAGGAAUAUUGGUCAAUGGACGGGAGUCUGAACCAGCCAAGUCGCGUGAGGGAUGAAGGUCCUACGGAUUGUAAACCUCUUUUGCCGGGGAGUAACGUCGCCCACGCGUGGGCGAGUGAGAGUACCCGGAGAAAAAGCAUCGGCUAACUCCGUGCCAGCAGCCGCGGUAAUACGGAGGAUGCGAGCGUUAUCCGGAUUUAUUGGGUUUAAAGGGUGCGCAGGCGGCGCGCCAAGUCAGCGGUCAAAGUUCCGGGCUCAACCCGGUGUCGCCGUUGAAACUGGCGUGCUCGAGUGCGUGCGAGGAAGGCGGAAUGCGUUGUGUAGCGGUGAAAUGCAUAGAUAUGACGCAGAACUCCGAUUGCGAAGGCAGCUUUCCAGCGCGCUACUGACGCUGAGGCACGAAAGCGUGGGGAUCGAACAGGAUUAGAUACCCUGGGUAGU